UACAGAGGUCCCAAGCGUUGUUCGGAUUCACUGGGCGUAAAGGGUGCGUAGGCGGGUCUUUAAGUCAGGGGUGAAAUCCUGGAGCUCAACUCCAGAACUGCCUUUGAUACUGAGGAUCUUGAGUUCGGGAGAGGUGAGUGGAACUGCGAGUGUAGAGGUGAAAUUCGUAGAUAUUCGCAAGAACACCAGUGGCGAAGGCGGCUCACUGGCCCGAUACUGACGCUGAGGCGCGAAAGCGUGGGGAGCGAACAGG
rnacentral:rRNA from 1 species